CCUACGGGAGGCUGCAGUGGGGAAUAUUGCACAAUGGGCGAAACCCUGAUGCAGCGACGCCGCGUGAAGGAAGAAGUAUUUCGGUAUGUAAACUUCUAUCAGCAGGGAAGAAAAUGACGGUACCUGACUAAGAAGCCCCGGCUAACUACGUGCCAGCAGCCGCGGUAAUACGUAGGGGGCAAGCGUUAUCCGGAUUUACUGGGUGUAAAGGGAGCGUAGGCGGUUUAGCAAGUCAGAAGUGAAAGCCCGGGGCUCAACUCCGGGACUGCUUUUGAAACUGUUGAACUAGAGUGCAGGAGAGGUAAGUGGAAUUCCUAGUGUAGCGGUGAAAUGCGUAGAUAUUAGGAGGAACACCAGUGGCGAAGGCGGCUUACUGGACUGUAAAUGACGCUGAGGCUCGAAAGCGUGGGGAGCAAACAGGAUUAGAUACCCGUGUAGUC
rnacentral:rRNA from 1 species